rnacentral:rRNA from 1 species
UACGUAGGGUGCAAGCGUUGUCCGGAAUUAUUGGGCGUAAAGAGCUCGUAGGCGGUUUGCCGAGUCGGCUGUGAAAACCCGAGGCUCAACCUCGGGCCUGCAGUCGAUACGGGCAAACUAGAGUGCGGUAGGGGAGACUGGAAUUCCUGGUGUAGCGGUGAAAUGCGCAGAUAUCAGGAAGAACACCUAUGGCGAAGGCAGCUCGCUGGGACGGUACUGACGCUGAGACGCGAAAGCGUGGGGAGCAAACAGG